UGGGGAAUUUUGCGCAAUGGGCGAAAGCCUGACGCAGCAACGCCGCGUGGAGGAUGAAGGUCCUCGGAUCGUAAACUCCUGUCAGCAGGGACGAAUGCUUCGUAAGAAGUUUGACUGUACCUGCUGAGGAAGCCACGGCUAACUCCGUGCCAGCAGCCGCGGUAAUACGGAGGUGGCAAGCGUUGUUCGGAAUUACUGGGCGUAAAGGGCGCGUAGGCGGCAUUGCAAGUCAGAUGUGAAAGCCCCGAGCUUAACUUGGGAAUUGCAUCUGAAACUGCUUUGCUUGAGUCCUGGAGGGGGUAGUGGAAUUCCCAGUGUAGCGGUGAAAUGCGUAGAUAUUGGGAGGAACACCUGCGGCGAAGGCGGCUACCUGGACAGUGACUGACGCUGAGGCGCGAAAGCUAGGGGAGCGAACG
rnacentral:rRNA from 1 species